rnacentral:rRNA from 1 species
UACGUAGGGUCCGAGCGUUGUCCGGAAUUACUGGGCGUAAAGAGCUCGUAGGUGGUUUGUCGCGUUGUUCGUGAAAACUCACAGCUUAACUGUGGGCGUGCGGGCGAUACGGGCAGACUGGAGUACUGCAGGGGAGACUGGAAUUCCUGGUGUAGCGGUGGAAUGCGCAGAUAUCAGGAGGAACACCGGUGGCGAAGGCGGAUCUCUGGGCCAUUACUGACGCUGAGGAGCGAAAGCGUGGGGAGCGAACAGG